rnacentral:rRNA from 1 species
UCGGAUUGUAGUCUGCAACCCGACUACAUGAAGCUGGAAUCGCUAGUAAUCGCGAAUCAGAAUGUCGCGGUGAAUACGUUCCCGGGUCUUGUACACACCGCCCGUCACACCAUGGGAGUCGGAUAUGCCCGAAGUCAGUGACCCAACCAUAUGGAGGGAGCUGCCGAAGGUGGAGCCGAUAACUGGGGUGAAGUCGUAACAAGGUAGC